rnacentral:rRNA from 1 species
GACGAACGCUGGCGGCGUGCCUAAUACAUGCAAGUCGAGCGGAUCUCAUCGGGAGCUUGCUCCCGGUGGGGUUAGCGGCGGACGGGUGAGUAACACGUAGGUAACCUGCCUGCAAGACCGGGAUAACAUUCGGAAACGAAUGCUAAGACCGGAUACGCAGCGUGGCGGCAUCGCCAAGCUGGGAAACACGGGGCAACCUGUGGCUUGCGGAUGGGCCUGCGGCGCAUUAGCUAGUUGGUGGGGUAACGGCCUACCAAGGCGACGAUGCGUAGCCGACCUGAGAGGGUGAACGGCCACACUGGGACUGAGACACGGCCCAGACUCCUACGGGAGGCAGCAGUAGGGAAUCUUCCACAAUGGGCGCAAGCCUGAUGGAGCAACGCCGCGUGAGUGAGGAAGGCUUUCGGGUCGUAAAGCUCUGUUGCCAGGGAAGAAUAAGGGCGAGGUAACUACUCGUCCGAUGACGGUACCUGAGAAGAAAGCCCCGGCUAACUACGUGCCAGCCGCCGCCGUAACAC